rnacentral:rRNA from 1 species
UACGUAGGGCGCGAGCGUUGUCCGGAAUCAUUGGGCGUAAGAGCGUGUAGGCGGCUGGGUAGGUCCGUUGUGAAAACUCGAGCUCAACCUCGAGACGCCGUAGUGGAAACCCUCCAGCUAGAGUCCGGAAGAGGAGAGUGGAAUUCCUGGUGUAGCGGUGAAAUGCGCAGAUAUCAGGAAGAACACCCGUGGCUAAGGCGGCUCUCUAGUACGGUACUGACGCUGAGACGCGAAAGCGUGGGGAGCGAACAGG